UCAUGGCCCUUACGAGUAGGGCUACACACGUGCUACAAUGGCGUAUACAAAGAGAAGCGACCUCGCGAGAGCAAGCGGACCUCAUAAAGUACGUCGUAGUCCGGAUUGGAGUCUGCAACUCGACUCCAUGAAGUCGGAAUCGCUAGUAAUCGUAGAUCAGAAUGCUACGGUGAAUACGUUCCCGGGCCUUGUACACACCGCCCGUCACACCAUGGGAGUGGGUUGCAAAAGAAGUAGGUAGCUUAACCUUCGGGAGGGCGCUUACCACUUUGUGAUUCAUGACUGGGGUGAAGUCGUAACAAGGUAACCGUAGGGGAACCUGCGGUUGGAUCACCUCCUUACCUAAAGA
rnacentral:rRNA from 1 species